CGGGUCCAGGCGCGGCCGCUAAGAGGAGACCAAGAGGCGGGGCUGCACUCGACAACCAGCGCGCCGAGAAGGCACAUUUUGUGCCCUCCCCGCCUCCAAAUUGCCUCAGUUACAAAUCAGAAGGCAGGCUUGGUGACCAGGACUGGCAAGCACAUUUUAAAGUCCCAUGCUGUGGAGUUGAUCCAUCUCAACUUGAGGUUGAUGUAGAUGUCUUACCUGAGAACUUUAACAAAGGAUUUUAUUCUGCAUGUGAGCUUUAAGAAAAGUCAGAAGAGGCAGAAGUGGAUGUGAGAGAAAGAGACACACAGAGAGACAGAGAGCCAAAGAGGGCAAGAGACUUGACUUUAAG